ACUCAGACACCCAACAUAAACCAGUAAUAGUCUCUGAAAAACUAACGUCCAGACGCCCACAAACAUUCAGAGCUGCACUGCAGAGACUUCCAGACCGGAAACACUCGCCUGAAGUGAUGCAUUAAGUAUUUCAGGUUUGAUUGACAGGAGAGUCUCAGCACAGAUAUCAUGUGAUCACUGACAGACUGCAGAUCUGUUGGAGCAUGAUGUCAGGUGACUGUGAUUGUGAACUCUGAUCUCCAGCAGCACAGCUUCAUCUCUGGUGGAUCGCUAGCAUGUCUGCUCUUGUAGGUUCAGUGUUUGCAGACGCAGGUGCAGGACUGUUAUUCCACGCGUCUCUGAAUGAUUUUCCACAGAUGACAGACAGAUAACCAUGUUGUUCUGACAAACACCGCAUCAUUUAUCUGGCCACAGUCUCCACAGGCUCCGAGUCUUUUAACCGGACAGAAUUUUGUACGAUUUUUUUGUGCACA